UCCUUGGAGGACUAGUGGUCAGGCCUCAGCACUCUCACUGCUACAGCCCAGGUUUGAUUCCCAGCCAGGGAA
rnacentral:tRNA from 1 species